rnacentral:rRNA from 1 species
GAUGAACGCUGGCGGCGUGCCUAAUACAUGCAAGUCGAGCGAACAGACGAGGAGCUUGCUCCUUCGACGUUAGCGGCGGACGGGUGAGUAACACGUAGGUAACCUACCUAUAAGACUGGGAUAACUUCGGGAAACCGGAGCUAAUACCGGAUAAUAUUUCGAACCGCAUGGUUCGAUAGUGAAAGAUGGCUUUGCUAUCACUCAUAGAUGGACCUGCGCCGUAUUAGCUAGUUGGUAAGGUAACGGCUUACCAAGGCAACGAUACGUAGCCGACCUGAGAGGGUGAUCGGCCACACUGGAACUGAGACACGGUCCAGACUCCUACGGGAGGCAGCAGUAGGGAAUCUUCCUCAAUGGGCGAAAGCCUGACGGAGCAACGCCGCGUGAGUGAUGAAGGUCUUCGGAUCGUAAAACUCUGUUAUUAGGGAAGAACAAACGUGUAAGUAACUGUGCACGUCUUGACGGUACCUAAUCAGAAAGCCACGGCUAACUACGUG